rnacentral:misc_RNA from 1 species
UUAAGUUCAGCGGGUAGUCCUACCUGAUUUGAGGUCAAAAUGUCAAUGAUUGUCCGAAGACGGUUAUGAGCGGAUUCCCAUAAGUUUUGCUUCAAAGUCAAGAUGGCAUAGAUAAUUAUCACACCAAGUGACGGUCCACAAAGGAUUCCACUAAUGCAUUUAAAGGGAGCAGACCAUCCACUGAAGGAAGCCAGCAAGCC